GGAAGGAUCAUUAACGAAGAGUUGGAGUGGCGCGCUCUGUUGCGGUGUAAAAGCUGCUUCGGGGUUGUGUGCUCCUUCACGACGUUUUCAGAAUUGAAAAGCACUUAAAAAAAGUCCAGCUAUAAGUAGAAGGCUGGCCCGGUGGUGGCUUCUGUGGCGUUGCGACGGCCCUCGUUGUGUGCCAGUUGCGAUCAGAGCCCUGUCGGAAUGUUAAACUCGGUGCAUCGGCUUGUUGCUGACCCGACGUCCGGCGUGAACGUUGGCCAGUGACUCGCAGGUGCAUCACGGGAUACCUACAGUCUCACAAGACGAUGCCAGCCGGUCGUGCAUGUUCACGCAAAUCGACCGGUUGGAGGCGUUCGCCGUGAGAGGAGAGCCGCAGCGCUCGAGGGUAUAAAGGGCUGCAGCGAGCGUCGCUGCCGACCGAGGGAUUAAACCACCUCGGCUCGUACUGGCCGUCCCGAUGUAUUCGCCGUGCAUGGCCCGCAGCGCUAGCACACUAUGGCGGGUACGUUACUCUGUCCAUGAUGGUAUUGAAUCAAGCCUCAACGGAGCGGUAAGUCUCGCACUCUAGCACAAGCGAGGCAAGCCAAUUCGGCGAGAGCAAAAAUAAACCGAUUGAAUCACUCUGUGCGGUGGAUCAUUCGGCUCGUGGGUCGAUGAAGAACGCAGCAAAAUGCGAGACGUAACGUGAAUUGCAGGACUUUGCGAACGUUAAUUCUUCGAACGCACAUUGCGGCUUUGGGUUGACUGAAGCCACGCCUGGUUGAGGGUCAGUUGAAUAAACCAUCACGACUGCGUGUUAGUCGUGGAUUGUCCGGAUAACGCUCGUAAGAGCGUUAGCGGAUCAAGUAGAGUCCGGAUGUGGCUCGUGGCUUCUUCUGAACGAGUGUGUUCUCGUUGGUUGGUUCGCACAAGACUACCAGUGCACAUGCACCGCAGCUGCAACGCGCUGGUUUAGUUGAACCUGACUGACGAGAGCCCGAGUGUUGGAAUUGGCUUUAACGAGCAAUACGGCAUCCGUGUGCUAAAUGCAGCUGCGUCUUGGACCCACGUAUGCGGGACCGGCAGCUAUAAGAAAUCAUUCUUUUGACCUCAGCUCAGACGAGAUUACCCGCUGAACUUAAGCAUACUACUAAGCGGAGGAAAAGAAACCAACGGGGAUUCCCAUAGUAACUGCGAGUGAAAGGGGAAAAGCCCAGCGCCGAAUCCUGCUGCUGGCGACGGCGGCAGGAACUGUGGCGUGAAGACGGUGUCUAUCGGUGUGGCUCGCUCGCGUAAGUCCUCCUGAGUGAGGCUCCAUCCCAUGGAGGGUGCAAGGCCCGUGUCGUGAGCAGCCGUCGCUGAUGUGCACUGUCAGAGAGUCGCCUUGUUUGCGAGUACAAGGUGAAGUCGGUGGUAAACUCCAUCGAAGGCUAAAUAUGACCACGAGUCCGAUAGCGAACAAGUACCGUGAGGGAAAAUUGAAAAGCACUUUGAAGAGAGAGCGAAACAGUGCGUGAAACCGCUCAGAGGCAAGCAGAUGGGGCCUCGAAGGCAGAGCAUCGAAUUCAGCCGGUUGUCCGUGCGGUUGGCCGGGAUAGGGGAGCGUAAGCCUCCGCCUGGUCGAUUGGUACGGCUGCCGGUGCACUUUCGGUGCUUGUACGCCACCGCCGUUAGGGAGCGUCCGUCGGGUCUGCGUGUCGGAGCCUGAUUCUCGCAAGAGAGUCGGUGCUCGCGGCAGGCCUGUACGCGUUCGCACACUAACCGGUCAAGUCAGCAUGUGCCAGCGUUUGCGCUGGGUCAGUCGGCUCCUUGUUGGUUGUUUAGAGAUGACGUGCUUGCACGGCUCUUUUGCACCGGCAGGACUCUGUGCUGGCCUUCAGCGUGGCACAUUGUCGAUUCGGUGGCGAGUAGACGGCUGCCCAUCUAACCCGUCUUGAAACACGGACCAAGGAGUUCAACAUGCGCGCCAGUCGUUGGGACGAGAAGCCCGCUGGCAGAGUGAAAGCAAGUCACAGUGUCACGCUGUGUAUUGGCGAGAUCCCGUCACCCGGGCCGCAAGGCCUGGGCCGGGCGCAUCGCCGGCCCAUCAUAAGCUCACGUGGCUGUGGUGGAGCUUGAGCGUGCACGUUGAGACCCGAAAGAUGGUGAACUAUGCCUGGGCAGGAUGAAGCCAGGGGAAACUCUGGUGGAGGUCCGUAGCGAUUCUGACGUGCAAAUCGAUCGUCUGACCUGGGUAUAGGGGCGAAAGACUAAUCGAACCAUCUAGUAGCUGGUUCCCUC
rnacentral:misc_RNA from 1 species